CAGCCGCCACGGUAAUACGUAGGGUGCAAGCGUUAAUCGGAAUUACUGGGCGUAAAGCGUGCGCAGGCGGUGUUGUAAGACUGAUGUGAAAUCCCGGGGCUCAACCCCGGAACUGCAUCCGAUACUGCCAUGCUUGAGGGUUGGAGAGGUAGCUGGAAUUCUUGGUGUAGCAGUGAAAUGCGUGGAUAUCAAGAGGAACACUCGUGGCGAAGGCGAGCUACUGGACAACAUCUGACGCUGAGGCUCGAAGGCCAGGGUAGCGAAAGGGAUUAGAGACCCCCGUAGUCCCUGUCUCUUAUAC
rnacentral:rRNA from 1 species